rnacentral:rRNA from 1 species
UACGAAGGGUGCAAACGUUGCUCGGAAUUAUUGGGCGUAAAGCGCACGUAGGCGGCUUAGCAAGUCGGAUGUGAAAUCCCUCGGCUCAACCAAGGAAGUGCAUCCGAAACUGCUGAGCUUGAGUACUUAAGAGGAUCGCGGAAUUCCCGGUGUAGAGGUGAAAUUCGUAGAUAUCGGGAGGAACACCAGUGGCGAAGGCGGCGAAUCUGGGAAGAUACUGACGCUGAGGUGCGAAAGCGUGGGGAGCAACAGG